ensembl:lncRNA
GCUUUUCCAAGUGAGGACCUUGCAACGGACAUGCAGGGCCUUGACCUCGGGCAGACUACCCCACCCAUGCAACGCAGCUUAGGCUUGGGCUGGGACCUGUCCACAGACCUGUUCAAGUUUCAGGUAACAGUCAAUCAAAAGCCCUUCACUAAACGGGGAGUGCUGUCAGUCAUUAAUAGUGUGUUCGACCCGCUUGGCUUUGCUGUCCCAGUCAUUGUAGAAGGCAGGGCCAUACUGAGAGACAUUUCCACUGACAUUUGUGAAUGGGACACCGAAUUGCCCAAAGACAAAUUACAACAGUGGCAACAAUGGAAAGACUCCCUCAAAUAUCUACAACAACUUGAAAUUCCCAGAAUGUACACCUCAAUACCACUAUCUGCAGCUCUAACUAAGGAGAUCCAUGUUUUUUGUGAUGCCUCCACUAAGGCAGUGGGCGCUGUUGCUUACCUCAAACUCACAGAUAGAGAUGGGCACAGUGAAGUGGGUUUCCUUCUCGGCAAAGCACGACUUUCCCCAAAACCAGACAUCACUAUACCCAGACUUGAACUUUGCGCAGCAGUCCUGGCUGUUGAGGUGGCCGAGUUAGUCCUGGAGGAGCUAGACAUCGCAGUCGAACAGGUGAGCUUCUACACCGACUCCAAAGUAGUGCUCGGUUACAUCUUUAACAAAAAGAGACGCUUUCACGUUUAUGUGCACAACAGAGUGGAACGUAUUAGGCGCUUCACACAAGCUCACCAGUGGCAUUACGUGCCCACUCAUUUAAAUCCUGCUGAUCAUGCCACACGAGCACUACCCGCUGAGCAGCUCUCUAAUUCCACAUGGAUCAGUGGACCCACUUUCCUUUCCAAUUUAGGAAAGAGUCAAGCACAGGCAGAGUUGUUUGAUCUUGUAGACCCAGAGACUGACAGUGAACUGCGACCUGAGGUCACUACUUGUGCCACCACUCUCUCAAGGGAUAGACUCAGUAGUGUCAGAUUUGAAAGGUUUUCGAGUUGGAAUGCACUACUUAAAGCUAUAUCCAAACUACAGCACAUUGCCCAGUCAUUUAAGCCGAACACGGAGAGCUCCUGUCACGGCUGGCACAGCUGUAAUGAACAUUUAACUGAAAAACAACUCAACCAAGCCAAGAACACUAUCAUUCACACUGUUCAAAGAGAAGUUUACGCAGAGGACAUAAGGCAAGUUGAAAAAGGUGUGCCCCUUA